rnacentral:sRNA from 1 species
AGGGGCAGCCCUCCUUGGGCGUUUCCUCCCUAGACUCGCCGCCCCUGUCCUUCGGGAUGGGGGCGGCCUUUUUUGCGUCU